AGGGGCGCCCUCGCAUCCCUUUCGCCUCCACGUUCGCGUCUUUUCUGAGCUCGUCCCGUCUCCUGAUCCUAGACAGCACGUUUACACCCGUGCAGAUGCUAGAUGGAUGAGUCAGCAUCAUAAUUCCUCACAAGAAAUCGGCAGAGUACCAAAGGACUGGCACUCCUUUGAUGAAGCUCCCCAAGAGGGAGUCGGCAUAAUCCAACACCAUCGAGACGUAAUGAAGUCUCUGAAGGAAAACCACAGCCUACCGACUGCGAACCUACUAUGUGUAUUAGACACGUUCCAGUGUGUUUGCUCAUUGAGUCUUCAGAGUAUGCCUAUGAGCCAGUGAGACAGCUGCCUUCCUUUGGGGGACAUCUGUUUUGGAACAGUAAAGAAAACUCUCCGAAACAAACCUUUCUUUAGAUACCCUAAAUCUGCAGUUCUCAUUCUGCGCGUGGAGAUUUCACGGAUACCUUUCAGUUUUGUAUUUCCACGUGAUAAUUCUUUUUUGCAAGUAUCUGAUCAGUUUUAAAGAUAAAAGUUCCCCAUGUAACCCAUACGUUGGACAGGCACCAUCCUUAGGCUAUAACCAAAAUGGAACUUUCCUUUUGUCUCUUACUAUUCCCAAACUGAAAUUUGUUCAGUUUUUCUCGUGUCACUGGAUGAGAACUUGAGCAGUAACAGAAAGCCCUGUGGUCACUUUAAAUAGUAAAGCAUAGUGCAGGACAAUAUACCAUUCAGUAACCACCUUCAUUCUAGAAAGUGCUCCCCCAGCACCCCACCUGGGGCAUGCCUUCAGGCUAGGAACAGUGGUGGGCUGGAUCAGGCUCCUCCCAGCUCACAAGAUUUAAUUGUAGCUUCUCUUUCUAACCCUGACAUCCCAUUGGUAGCCUGAGAUGGCCAUGCUGGAGAGUAUUUACACCAAGGAAAUAGGCAGAUGCUCCAAGGCAGGGCUUUUUACCUUGGAGAGCUGGUGAGCUGGUUGAAGAAUAGUGGUGUGCUCAUUAAAUAUUGACCAGCAGACACAGGGCCAGGGCCUAGUGUCCAGGAAAGAGGGUGUGAUCCACUUCUCCUUUCUUUCUUUGGCCUUCCUCCCUUCCAGGCUCCAAGGCCCUCCAAGAUGGGAGUGUAGGGAGGGCAAGAGAAAGGGGGACAGAAACCUCCUGCUGGACUGGCACUUGCAAAAGUCAGCUUUCUCCUCUCUGGGCCUGAAGGUGUUUUAGGGCUGACUCUUUUUCUCAGUGGUUCUCUGUGAGUUCACUGGAGGCCUCCCUGCUUGAACCUUUCCGACAGUGUCUCCCAGGGGGCCAGCAGUGGCCUGCCAGUGUAGAGCUUCCACCAGUGACACCUGGAUCACCAGUGCCUCUGUGUAACUGCAGAUCCCCAGCCCCACCCAGAGCUUCCGAAUGAGAACUUCUAGGAGCAGCGUCUGACUUUCAACGGGCCCACCCGCCUCCACCACCACAUGAUUCUGAUGCCACUCGAGCUUGAGAAACACCGAACUGCAUACGUUCCCUUCAACCUCUAAAAGACCAUGAUCCCUGAGGCAAAAUUGCCAUCAUUUCCUUUUCCUACUCAAAGAACUGGAAAAAAAAAAAAAAAAAAAGGCUCCUGGUUGCCUGAUGUGUAAAAUCUAAGUUUCCUGGCCAAACCUUCCCAGCUUUCCAUAAUCCAGCCCUCACGUAACCUGCUAAUACUGUCCUCCCGUGCCCCCUCUUCAGAGACCACAUUCGAGUCACCCUACGUUCUCUGUCCCAGUUGCCCCUCGUGCUUUCCUGCCCUGAUUCCCUUCUUCCACCUCUUUCUGUACCCUCCCCACUCUUCUUCCCACAGCUGACCCCGACUCCAAGGCCAGCUCAGCCCCAUAAAGCCCCAUGGGUUCAUUUCCUCUGAAUCCCAAAGCACAGGCCUUUAAAAAAUGGUGCUGUAGGCUUAUGUCCUGCCGCCCUCACUUAAGUUACUUAAUAGGAAAGUCCAUGAAUAAAAAUCAGAUUCCAUAAUCCCCCUGGGAACCCAGUCCUGCACUCACUCAUUCUGCCAAGUAGUCCUUCCUU